UCUUCCGAGAACUAACUUAGGCUAAUAUAAGAGUUAAAGAAAGGCUUGUGCGAAUGAGAGAUUUAAAGUGAGUGAUAUAUGUAAUUUGGACACCUCAACUGCAAAAAGGAUAUAAUAUGUAUGUUAAUACUGAGCUAAUGCGGAGUUUACAUUACGAAAUUAGUGUCAUGCAUGUUGAACUCAGUUUCACGAAAGUAGUUUCGAUAUAUGCGAAUGUAAUUUCGUUAAAAAAUUUGUGUCGCGAAAUCCACAGUAUCGCAGUAACCAUGGCGCCUUCAGCAUCAAAACUACAUUUUGCUAUAUUCAAUGUAGCUAAAGAAAUGCUUAUAUACCUAUAAACUUAAAAAAAGACUAUCAAGAAAAAAAAAGUUGGUAGAUUCGAGGUUGGUCAACAAGAAGGCAUUUAAGUGCAAUGAACUUAGUCUCUGAAUUAGCAGAUGAAGAUCCUGAGAGUUAUAAAAACUAUUUUCGAAUGAGUAAAGAUAAUUUUGAUUUUUUACUGUAGGUGUUUCGGGACCCUUGUCAUUGAUAUUCAUUAAUAAGAUCUAUAUUUUUUUCUGUACUCCAUCUUUGGUUUGCCAUUUUCAACGCUCGAAGCGCGCGCGAGCUGACAAUACACACGUCCGCACAGCGCAGGCCCUUUCGCGACAUUAGUUUCACGUCGCGUCUACACUAUGAAAUUAGUUGCAUGACACUAAUUUCACCAAAAAAUCGCGCAGGGCACGAAACUAAUUUGCAUGCAUGAAAUUAAUGCAUGCAUUACGAAAGUACUAAAUUACACGUGAAACUGUUGGUAAAACUAAUGUCACGAAAUUAAUUUCACGCCACUAAUUUCGUAAUGUAAAUUUAGACAUGUGUAAGUAAUGCGAGUGAUAUUACUCGGGUAAUAUUACUCUACGAUGUAAUGCAACAUCACACAUUACGCGAAGGAAACAAACAUCACACUAUCACCCAACAUGUUUCUUUCUUUGUCGUGUAAUGUUGCUUAAUACACGAACGGAACCGAGCGAGCGAGACAGACCGAUCGACGCAAAAUAAAUGAGCAAGCGACACGGAAUUAUUCCUAGUGAUUUGGAACCGUAUGUCCUGGCCGCUAGGUACAUUUUUAUACCUAUGGUACGUCUGAAUUUUAAUAUAGGUAUUUGUGUUUAUAUUUUUCAUUCGGCCAGCCGGUAGUUUCCCGCAAGUACUUACUUAAUUUUUUAUUCGCAACUUUUGUAAAAUCGCUAGUCGCUCGUAAUUGUUUAGUAAUAUUUCAUAUUAAUUUUUGUGUUUGAUUUGAAUUACUUAAGCACUUGUUUGAAGAUAGUUUUAUUAUUUGUUUUAAUGCGUGUUUAAUAAGUGAAAGAAAUAACGGCGUCUAAAUGAAAGUACAGUCCUCCUUGGAUGCACUUUGAGGAUAUCGCGCCGAAACAAUGCAUCUACUGCUCUCGUAUAUUAACAUUAUUGUCGAGCUCAAUUUGCAGUCUAAGUCGCCAUAUGAAAUCCGUUCAUCCCACAAUAAAUUAUAUUAAGUAAAAAAUAAAAUUAUUAUAUUAUUAAGUAAGUCAAUCUCUGUCAAGUAAUAUAACAGUGUAUUACAAUACAAAGUUCAUACUUUGUAUUGUAAUACACUACUGUAAUGACACACCCGAAUCAUUACCUAAGUGAUGUGUUGAUACACAUCACUUAGGUAAUGAUUCGGGUGUAUAGAUACAAUGUAUUCGUCGUCACAGUAUCUAUUGAACGCACCGAGUAAUGUUAAGAGUGAUGUGUAAUGUUUUCGAGUAAUAUCACCUGUCUGUAAAAGUGAUGUCAUAUCACAUUACAUUGGGAAGUGAUGUUUUGCGCAAGUCUAAUGUAAAUUCACCUUUAAUGAUCUAGACGAGGAAAUUGAAUUAAUUGAGAGAUCAAUUGAAUUGGAUCACUGGGCUAGUGAGUGGGUAUUAGACAUGUGUAAGUAAUGCGAGUGAUAUUACUCGGGUAAUAUUACUCUACGAUGUAAUGCAACAUCACACAUUACGCGAAGAAAACAAACAUCACACUAUCACCCAACAUGUUUCUUUCUUUGUCGUGUAAUGUUGCUUAAUACACGAACGGAACCGAGCGAGCGAGACAGACCGAUCGACGCAAAAUAAAUGAGCAAGCGACACGGAAUUAUUCCUAGUGAUUUUGAACCGUAUGUCCUGGCCGCUAGGUACAUUUUUAUACCUAUGGUACGUCUGAAUUUUAAUAUAGGUAUAUAUUUGUGUUUAUAUUUUUUUUUUCAUGCGCCCAGCCCUUCGAUCAACAAUAGUAACUAGAUUUCGGGUCAGUGCAUAAAAUCCGUCUCGUCAAAUAACAGCGCACUUGAAAUGUGAGCUCUUAUUUUGUUUAGUUCACUUCAAACACAGCCAAUGUCAACCCGUCUCACAAUACCGCAGUGUGUAUUCAAAAGUUGCAAAAAUAAGGCCCGAAAAAGCAAUUUAACGGCCGGAAUAUCUUACUUUCGCUUUGCUAGCAAUCACGUGUGCAGAAUGGAUCUCGAUUGUCGCCAGAGAAACAAGAGAUGACUUUUAUAAGCCAGCUAAGAUCUCCGCUUAUUGACACUGGACAUCUUUGCCUUCCGUGCUCACGGCUACUGAAACGUGGCCGAAACAUUGUAAUAAAAAUACCACGCUUGAAACCGUUUAAA